rnacentral:ncRNA from 1 species
CGACGCGGUGAGGCACGACAUCAACUACUUAAAGAACCAAGAGAAAUAACCCAACCCCACCCCACCUGAUCCCGGUGGUCAGCUGCGAGAGGGCUCGUCACUCGCGCGGGUGAGGUUUGCCGACUGAGCUGGAUUUCGGCCCGGUUGGCAGGCAUAUGCUCGCGCUGACCCAACGCCCAGACAUGAGACGGCCCCCGCCGGGACGGCAAUCCCGAGCGAGGACCUGACCACCAAGGAAGCGACACCUUCCCG